AUGGAACAACCCCCGCGUGAAUGAAGAAGGUUUUAGGAUCGUAAAACUCUGUUGUUGGAGAAGAACAGGGACUAGAGUAACUGUUAGUCCUUUGACGGUAUCCAACCAGAAAGCCACGGCUAACUACGUGCCAGCAGCCGCGGUAAUACGUAGGUGGCAAGCGUUGUCCGGAUUUAUUGGGCGUAAAGCGAGCGCAGGCGGUUUUUUAAGUCUGAUGUGAAAGCCUUCGGCUUAACCGAAGAAGUGCAUUAGAAACUGGAAAACUUGAGUGCAGAAGAGGACAGUGGAACUCCAUGUGUAGCGGUGAAAUGCGUAGAUAUAUGGAAGAACACCAGUGGCGAAGGCGGCUGUCUGGUCUGUAACUGACGCUGAGGCUCGAAAGUAUGGGGAGCGAACAGGAUUAGAUACCCUGGUAGUCCAUACCGUAAACGAUGAAUGCUAAGUGUUGGAGGGUUUCCGCCCUUCAGUGCUGCAGCUAACGCAUUAAGCAUUCCGCCUGGGGAGUACGACCGCAAGGUUGAAACUCAAAGGAAUUGACGGGGGCCCGCACAAGCGGUGGAGCAUGUGGUUUAAUUCGAAGCAACGCGAAGAACCUUACCAGGUCUUGACAUCCUUUGACCACUGUAGAGAUACAGCUUUCCCUUCGGGGACAAAGUGACAGGUGGUGCAUGGUUGUCGUCAGCUCGUGUCGUGAGAUGUUGGGUUAAGUCCCGCAACGAGCGCAACCCUUAUGACUAGUUGCCAGCAUUUAGUUGGGCACUCUAGUAAGACUGCCGGUGACAAACCGGAGGAAGGUGGGGAUGACGUCAAAUCAGCAUGCCCCUUAUGACCUGGGCUACACACGUGCUACAAUGGUCGGUACAACGAGUUGCGAACCCGCGAGGGUAAGCUAAUCUCUUAAAGCCGAUCUCAGUUCGGAUUGUAGGCUGCAACUCGCCUACAUGAAGCCGGAAUCGCUAGUAAUCGCGGAUCAGCACGCCGCGGUGAAUACGUUCCCGGGCCUUGUACACACCGCCCGUCACACCAUGAGAGUUUGUAACACCCGAAAGUCGGUGGGGUAACCCUUUUAGGGAACUAGCCGCCUAAGUGACAGAGGUUGU
rnacentral:rRNA from 1 species